rnacentral:rRNA from 1 species
UUUUUAAAAAUAUUUAUCGAAAAAUAAUUUAAAUUUUUAUAAUAUUGAAACUGUAAAGGAAGUAUUAAAAAAUUAAUAAAGAAUAAUUAAUUUCCUUUAGUAUCAGGAAUUUUCAACAUUUUUUUUUUACAAAAAUUUUCUUGAAAAAAAGUCAUCUAUAAAUAUAUUAUUUUUUUGUUAUAUAAAUCUAUAAAUAAAUUUAUAGCAAUUAUACUUUAAACGACCUUUUUGAUAACCAGUUUCUUUUAUUUUAUAAAAAUUACCUAAAUUUUUAAAGAUAACUUUAUAAAUAAAUUUUUUAUCCCUCCUUUAUUAAUUAGAAAUAAAAGUUUUCAAAAAGUUUAAUAACUAAACUUUUUUUUUUAUUAAUAUUUCUAAAAAGACUAAAUCAUAUUUAAAAUAUUGAUAAUGAUAAUAUAAGUAGAUUAUAAAAUCUAAUAAAUUACGAAUUAAGCAAAUAUAUAUUGAGUGACUGUUUACCAAAAACAUUUUUUACUGAAAAUAAUUUUAAAUAUUGCCUGCUCAAUGAAAUUUUAAUAGCCGCAGAAAUUUAACUGUGCUAAGGUAGCAUAAUCAUUAGUCUCUUAAUUAGAGACUUGUAUGAACGGUAAGACAUCUCAAUAACUUUUUUAAUUAUUAAAAUUUAAAUUAAACCAAGAAUAAAAAUGUUCUUAUAAAAAAAAGACGACAAGACCCUUUUGAACUUUACUUUAGUUUGGCUGGGGCAGCUAAAUAAUAAUUAUUUUAUUUAUCCUAUUUUAUUAAAUGACCCACAUACUAUUUGAUUUAUGAACAAGUUACCAUAGGGAUAACAGCAUAAUUUUUUUUUAAAGCUCUUAUUAAAAAAAAAGAUUAUGACCUCGAUGUUGAAUUAAUAUUACUUAUAAAAUGCAACAAUUUAAAAAGUAGGUCUGUUCGACCUUUAAAAUAUUACAUGAUUUGAGUUCAAAUCGGUGUAAACCAGAUUGGUUUCUAUCUUUUUUAAACUUUAUUUAGUACGAAAGGACCAAUAAAAAUAUUAUAAAU